rnacentral:rRNA from 1 species
UACGGAGGGUGCAAGCGUUAAUCGGAAUUACUGGGCGUAAAGCGCACGCAGGUGGCUGAGUCAGUCGAUUGUGAAAGCCCUGGGCUCAACCUGGGAAUUGCAGUCGAUACUACUCAGCUAGAGUAUGGGAGAGGGCAGUGGAAUUCCCGGUGUAGCGGUGAAAUGCGUAGAGAUCGGGAGGAAGGCCGGUGGCGAAGGCGGCGCUCUGGAACGUUACUGACGCUGAGACACGAAAGCGUGGGGAGCAAACAGG